GGUUCCGUAGUUCAGCAGGAUAGAACACCAGUUUCCUAAACUGGGUGUCGGAGGUUCGAGUCCUCUCGGGACCG
rnacentral:tRNA from 1 species